rnacentral:rRNA from 1 species
AUUGAACGCUGGCGGCAUGCCUUACACAUGCAAGUCGAACGGGCUUUUGGGGCUUGCUCCAAAAGCUAGUGGCGAACGGGUGAGUAAUACAUCGGAACGUACCUCGUUGUGGGGGAUAACUAACCGAAAGGUUGGCUAAUACCGCAUACGACCUAAGGGUGAAAGCAGGGGAGCUUCGGACCUUGUGCAAUGAGAGCGGCCGAUGGCGGAUUAGCUAGUUGGUGAGGUAAAGGCUCACCAAGGCGACGAUCCGUAGCUGGUCUGAGAGGAUGAUCAGCCACACUGGGACUGAGACACGGCCCAGACUCCUACGGGAGGCAGCAGUGGGGAAUUUUGGACAAUGGGCGAAAGCCUGAUCCAGCCAUGCCGCGUGAGUGAAGAAGGCCUUUGGGUUGUAAAGCUCUUUCAGACGGAAAGAAAAGAUGCGGGCCAAUACCCCGUAUCGAUGACGGUACUGUCAGAAGAAGCACCGGCUAACUACGUGCCAGCAGCCGCCG